CCUUUUUCCAGGGUACUGUUGGUGCCAGUUAUUCCUGGGGGACAUCUAGGAGGAGAGACACUGUUCUAGAACCUUCUACAAACAUUUGAGACUUUCUUAAGGUGUACACUUUGGGCGGCUGGCUUGGUAAAUUCCAAGGAGUGAUAAUUCCUGAACCAAAAGCUGAGUUGAUUUUCCCGGAUCAUAUUCUGAGAAGUUAGAGAGUGCUUCCCACUGGCCCCCA
rnacentral:lncRNA from 1 species